AUUGAACGCUGGCGGCAUGCUUUACACAUGCAAGUCGAACGGUAACAGGUUAAGCUGACGAGUGGCGAACGGGUGAGUGAUGCAUCGGAACGUGCCCGAUCGUGGGGGAUAACGCAGCGAAAGCUGCGCUAAUACCGCAUACGAUCUGAGGAUGAAAGCGGGGGACCGUAAGGCCUCGCGCGAUCGGAGCGGCCGAUGUCAGAUUAGGUAGUUGGUGGGGUAAAGGCUCACCAAGCCAACGAUCUGUAGCUGGUCUGAGAGGACGACCAGCCAACCUGGAACUGAGACACGGCGCAGACUCCUACGGGAGGCAGCAGUGGGGAAUUUUGGACAAUGGGCGAAAGCCAUGCCGCGUGAGUGAAGAAGGCCUUCGGGUUGUAAAGCUCUUUCGGCCGGGAAAAAAUCGCAUGGGCUAAUACCCUGUGUGGAUGAUGGUACCGGAAUAAGAAGCACCGGCUAACUACGUGCCAGCAGCCGCGGUAA
rnacentral:rRNA from 1 species